UUAAAGGAAUUGACGGGGCCCGCACAAGCGGCGGAGCAUGCGGAUUAAUUCGAUGCAACGCGAAGAACUUACCAAGGCUUGACAUACACCGGUAACGCCCCAGAGAUGGGUGCCCCUUUGUGGUCGGUGGACAGGUGGUGCAUGGUUGUCGUCAGCUCGUGUCGUGAGAUGUUGGGUUAAGUCCCGCAACGAGCGCAACCCUCGUCCUAUGUUGCCAGCGGGUCAUGCCGGGGACUCAUGGGAGACUGCCGGGGUCAACUCGGAGGAAGGUGGGGAUGACGUCAAAUCAUCAUGCCCCUUAUGUCUUGGGCUUCACGCAUGCUACAAUGGCCGGUACAAAGGGCUGCGAUACCGCGAGGUGGAGCGAAUCCCAGAAAGCCGGUCUCAGUUCGGAUUGGGGUCUGCAACUCGACCCCAUGAAGUCGGAGUCGCUAGUAAUCGCAGAUCAGCAACGCUGCGGUGAAUACGUUCCCGGGCCUU
rnacentral:rRNA from 1 species